ensembl:ncRNA asRNA:CR45815 antisense RNA:CR45815
GUCAUAUUUCCGAAUGGCGUUCUAUAAUGGGACGCCUCUUGAAAUCUGUCUCCGCCCAUUUACAUAAGAACGUUCCCAUGGGCGAGCACAUAGUUUUCAAAAGGCCAGAUUCGAAGGGGCGUGGGAAAAAUCGAUGGGCUGUACCCCAGGACAAAAGGCCUAAAACUCUGGCGCUAUCGAUUUUCCACUCACCAGGUCCUUGUAGAGAUCCUUGCUAAUGUGCGGCGUCAGCUUGAGGGUGCCCACGAAGAUGAAGAAGAGGCCCAGCAGCACGGAGAGGCUCUUCAGCACGAUCGUAUUGGAUGCAGGAGGCAUCUUGGCCCGGUUAUGGGUAAAUACUCGGAGGGGCGGAGUUCACUGGGAGCCCCUAGCCAAUACAACACCCUACCAAAACACACCGGUCGCUAAUUUUAGACGAAUCUCUUAGCUUUUCGUGCCGAUUCGGACGAUGCGGAAAAAUACGCGACCACCAGCAAAUUGAGGCACACAAUCCGAAUGUUUUCAAGUUUUCAAAUCGCUGCGUUCGGAAAGAGACUGACUCGGAUUCGGAUUCAGAUUCACAUUCAGAGCAGUUGCAAAGUUUAUUUCGGCAGCAUCCCAAACGGAAUGGCGGAAAAUCAAUACGUGCUCACGGGACCGGUGCUCUGGCCGCAUCGAGAGUCAAGAGAGGACAGCCGCAGCCACAGCCGCGACAGGCCCACCCCGGAGAGUGGAGAGCACGGCGGAAUGGCGGAACGGCAGCUGGACCCACUUCACCAUCCUCGGGCAGUCGGCUCGGGUGGUGGUUGUUCCGAAAGUGGCGCAAAUGAGGCCAAAGACCCCGGCUAGCAACCCUUAAGGAGGCCCAGAUAAACAAUCAUUAGGUGAACAUGAGUGGCUUUCGCCAAAUGAAUGACACACAAAACUCGGAAACUCCUUGUGAAAUGAGAGUUUUAGUAAUUGAGAGCAGAUAUUACCAUUAGUGUAUUAAACAUAAUCUCAGUAUUAU